rnacentral:rRNA from 1 species
GCCUACGGGGGGCAGCAGUAGGGAAUAUUGCACAAUGGGCGAAAGCCUGAUGCAGCAACGCCGCGUGUGCGAUGGAGGCCUUCGGGUCGUAAAGCACUUUUCUGAGAGAUGAGAAAGGACAGUAUCUCAGGAAUAAGUCUCGGCUAACUACGUGCCAGCAGCCGCGGUAAAACGUAGGAGGCGAGCGUUAUCCGGAUUCACUGGGCGUAAAGCGCGUGCAGGCGGUUCGGUAAGUUGGGUAUGAAAUCUCCUGGCUUAACUAGGAGAGGUUAUCCAAUACUACCGGACUAGAGAGUGGUAGAGGAAGAUGGAAUUCCAGGUGUAGUGGUGAAAUGCGUAGAUAUCUGGAGGAACACCAGUGGCGAAAGCGAUCUUCUGGACCAUUUCUGACGCUCAGACGCGAAAGCUAGGGUAGUAAACGGGAUUAGAUACCCCGGUAGU